UUUUUUUUUUUGAGACAGAGUCUCGCUCUGUCUCCCAGGCUGGAGUGCAGUGGCACAAUCUCGGCUCACUGCAAGCUCCGCCUCCCGGGUUCACGCCAUUCUCCUGCCUCAGCCUCUCCGAGUAGCUGGGACUACAGGUGCCCGCCACCACGCCCGGCUAAUUUUUUUGUAUUUUUAGUAGAGACAGGGUUUCACCAUGGUUUCGAUCUCCUGACCUCGUGAUCUGCCCGCCUCGGCCUCCCAAAGUGCUGGGAUUACAAGCGUGAGCCACCGCGCGCCUGGCCUGAGACAGAGUUUCACUCUUGUCACCCAGGCUGGAGUGCAGUCGUGUGAUCUAGGCUCACUGUAACCUCUGCCUCUCGGGUUCAAGCAAUUCUCCUGCCUUAGGCUCCCAAGUAGCUGAGAUUACAGACGCCCACCACCAGGCCUGGCUAAUUUUGUAUUUUUAGUAGAGACAGGGUUUCACCAUGUUGGUCAUGCUGGUCUCGAACUCCUGACCUCAGGUGAUCCACCCACCUCGGCCUCCCAAAGUGCUGGGAUUACAGGUGUGAGCCACUGCGCCUGGCCCAGAAUUUCUUUUAAAGACUGAAUAAUAUUCCAUUAUAUGUAUAAACCACAUUUUGUUCAUCCAUUCAUUCGUUGAUGGACAUCUGGGUUGCUUCCACCUCUUGGCCAUUGAAAAUAGUGUUGCCAUCAACAUGGGUGUAUAUCUCUUCAAGACCUUUCUUUUCAGUUCUUUUGGGUAUGUACCCAAAAGUGGGAUUGCUGGAUCAUAUGGUAGCUUUAUUUAUUUAUUUAUUUAUUUAUUUAUUUAUUUAUUUAUUUUGAGAUGAAGUCUCGCUCUGUCACCCGGGCUGGAGUGCACAGCCUGGAGUGCACAGUGGCACAAUCUCAGCUCACUGCAACCUCUGCCUCCCGGGUUCAAGCGAUUCUCCUGCCUCAGCCUCCUGAGUAGCUGGGAUUACAGGCGCCCGCCACCACACCCAGCUAAUUUUGUAUCUUUAGUAGAGAUGGUGUUUCACCAUGUUGGCCAGGCUGGUCUCGAACUCCUGGCCUCAGGUGAUCCGCUGCCUCAGCCUCCCAAAGUGCUGGAAUUUGAGGUGUGAGCCACCACUCCUGGCCUUUAUUUUUAAAUUUUUGAGGAAAGGCCAUGCUUUUUUUCUGUAUCAUUUGCACUAUUUUAUACCCCCCAUCAACAGUGCACAAGGGCCCCAGUUUCUUCACAUUCUUCCCAACACUUGUCAUUUACACACUUAUUUAUUUUUAAUAGUAGCUAUCCUUCUGGGUAUAAGGAGAUAGCUCUCUGUGGUUUUGAUUUGCAUUUCUCUGAUUAGUUGGCCAUUUUCAUCUGCUUGUUGGCAAUUUGUAUACUGUCUUAGUCUAUUUUAUGCUGCUAAUGUAUAUAAGAAUAUCUGAGCCUGUGUAAUUUAUAAAAAACGAAUUUAUUCUGUUGGGCAAGAGGUUGCUGAAAAGUAAAACAAAGCAAAACAAAAAUUAUUUCUCACAGUUCUGGAGGCUGGGAAGUCCAAGAUCAAGGUGCCAGCAUCUUGCUUUUUGCUGUGUCUUCCAGAGGGGAGGAUUACUGUGUCCUCACAUGGCAGAAGAUCAGAAGAUAGUGAACCCACUCCUGAAAUCCCUUUUUAUAAUGGCAUUAAUCCGUUUGGCAGAGCCGUCAUGACUAAGUACCUCCCAAAACACACUACCUCCCAGUUGUCAUACUGGGGACUAAGUUUCCAAUACGUGAUUUGAGGAGACACAUUCAGACCAUAGCAUAUAUCAUCUCUGGAGAAAUGUCUGUUAAAAUCCACUGCCCACUUUUAAAUUGGGUUGAUUUUUUUGUUGUUGAGUUGUAGGAGUUUUUAUAUAUUUUGGAUAUUCACUCCUUAUCAGAUAUAUAAUUUACAAAUAUUUUCCCCAUUCUAUAGGUUGCCUUUUGAUUCUGUUGAUUGUGUCCUUUAAUGAAAAAACAUGUUUAAGUUUAAUGUCGUCCUAUUUGUCUAUUUUUUCUUUUGUGGCUUGUGCUUUUGGUAUCACAGGCAAGAAAUUAUUGCCAAACCCAAUGUCAUGAGGCUUUUCCCCUAUGGUUUGGGGUCUUACAUUUAGGUCUUUAAUACAUUUGGAGUUAAAUUUUGUAUAUGGUAUAAGAUAAGGAUCCAACUUCAUUCUUUGAUAUGGAUAUUCAGUUUUCCCAAUGCCAUUUGUUGAAGAGAUUGUCCUUUGCCCAUUAAGUGCUCUUGGCACCGUUGUCAAGUCUUUUGACCAUAUGCACAAGGAUUUAUUUCUAGACUCUGUAUUCUAUUCCAUUGGUAUAUUAAUCUUUUUUUUUUUCAGUUCAGCUCCUUUUUUUUUUUUUUGAGAUAGAGUCUCACUCUGUCACCCAGGCUGGAGUGCAGUAGCACAAUCUCGGCUCACUGCAACCUCUGCCCCCCAGGUUCAAGUGAUUCUUGUGCCUGGCCCAUGGUGUAUAAUUCUUUUGCCAUGCUGUUGAAUUUGGUUUGCUAGUAUUUUGUUGAAGAUUUUUACAUCAAUAUUCAUCAAGGUUAUUGGUCUGUAGUUUUUUUUUUUUUUUUUUUUUUUUUCUUGUAGUGUCUUUGUCUGGCUUUGGUAUCAUGGUAAUGCUGACCUCACAGAAUAAGCUUGGAAGCAUUCCAGCUGUCUUUUGUCAUUAUCCCACUGUACCUGUUCUUAGACUUCAUUGAACUCUUAUCCCGUGAUAAUCUACUUUUCUACAGAUUAUUCAGACUCCCUGCUGACCCCUCUGCUCUCCAUUCCUGCCUUCUCACUAGCUCCUUGACCUAUGAUCUCCUGUCUUUCUGCCACACUUAGCUCACAAAUCUCUAAUCCUGGGGGUGUCUUAUGGCAGAAAUGCUAUUUGAUUACCCAAUAUCUAUUCAAUUAUUCUUAGUUACAGAAAAUUGAUUGUAUUUGGAGUGGGAGUAUUCCCCCUACAGAUAGUUGUGGGAUAUGUGACCAAAUUCUAGCUAAUAAGAUAUAAACUGGGUCAGGGGGCGGGGAUCGGCUGUGUGGAGAGGGCCGGGGGCUCUCACACGUGAAGAAGUUGUUGUUUGGUCUUUCAGGAAGACUCUUUAAAAGGGAACAGACAGUUGAGGCAUAGUAUUUUUUUUUCCUUUCUUCCUUCUUCCUAUUUUUUGCCAGGAACCCAGAAAUAGUGGCUUGAAUCCUUGCAACCAUCUUGGGCUAUGAGGCAACCUUGGGGACAGAAGCCAGCAUCAGGGCUGGUGAAUCAGAAAGGAUCUGGCCCUUUCCCUGUUCCACCUCACUCCUGCACUGCACUGACCCAGCCUGGCCCACCUCUGGCCAGUCCUCCACAGACUGAGGUCUCUCAUGGGAGCUGAGGUCAGCCUUUACUGCUUCAUGCUGCCUCUGGGAUCAGAGGCUCUUGGGUGUGAUUUCCAAGGUCCUCUCCUCUCCUGCCUCCUCCACCAGCACUGAGCUUCCUGCAGCUCCCAGAAUGGUUUCCUCCACCCGCAAGGAAAGAGUUACUCUCCAAAAAUGUUAACCACAGCUGAAUUGAAAGAGUCUUUGGGAAAUGUGGCAAUGUUGUUUAUAUAAGUAUACCACUUUAUAAGUCUACUGGAGAUCCAAAGGGAUUUGCGUUUGUGGAAUUUGAAACAAAAGAACAAGCAGCAAAAGCAAUUGAGGUAGGUCCAGAUCCUGAAGUCAGAACAGGGAAGAGGAAGAGAAGCAGCUCUGAAGAUGCAGAAUCCCUAGCUCCCCGAUCAAAAGUAAAGAAAAUUAUUCAGAAAGACAUCAUUAAGGAAGCUUCAGAAGCUUCCAAGGAAAAUAGAGAUAUAGAAAUCUCUACUGAAGAGGAAAAGGAUACUGGAAAUCUAAAAGAGAGCUCUCUCUUGAAAACAAAAAGGAAACAUAAGAAAAAAACAGAGACAUAAAAUAGAAGAAAUUAUACCAUUAAGAGUACUAUCAAAGUUCGAGAUCCUGAGGAAGCCACUCUUCUGACCCUCUGUCCAGUUCAGAAAGAGCCGGUUCACGUAAUCCUUGUGAAAGGAAGGCGGCCUUGUGCUGUAGAAGAACUGCCCGUGGAAGUGGCCCCGUCUCCAGGAUAUUUUCGUGUUGGGAGCUGUGGCUAACUCCCAGGGGGGACAAGGAGACCAGCAGAGCCGUCCAGGCAGGAGAGGGGCCCUGUGGAGGGGCCGCCUGGGGCUUGAGGGCCAGUGCAGGCUCUUUCAGGGAAAGGAAAGGCGGGCCUGAAUCUCUGCCUUUCUGCGCCCCAGAUUCAGUCCUCAGAGAGGAGGAGGAGGAAGCCGGUGGAGGUCACAGGACCCUGGUGCUUUCCCAAGUGGCCCUGCAUGGCUGUGUCUCUCAUUUCUGGGGAUCUGUGAGGAUACACUGCUUCUCUCAUGACCCUCAUUUCCGUGGCCAUACCUGAUGGAAAGAAAUGGCAGGAGCAGACAGCCACCAUGCAGAUUGGAAAAUGUGGACGAGGAGAAAAGGGGUGUACAACACUGGACAGUUUUGGGUCUUACGUUGAAGUCUUUAAUCCAUUUUGAGUUAAUUUUUUGGCAGAGAUGCACCUUUAUGUUUUGCAU